AACUUCCCUUGCAACCCCCUAUAAAAAGAGCCUCGGACUCUGGGCUAGUCGCCUCUCUAAGAUACUUUGCUUUGGGAGUGCCGUCUGGCCAGACUAAGAUCUGUUUUACUUUCCAACUUGCCCGGGUGUUCUUCGCUGCAGUCAGCUCCUCGGAGCGUUUGGUACUUUAAUCCUAAUUAUGCUGCAUAGUAACAGUUGAGAUAACUGGCACUCAGAGAGGUCGAGUAAUUGUCUAAGAAUACACACCUACUAGAACUCAGAUGUCUUAUUGCUUCUGCCCAGGUCAGACAGAGGUGAGAAUAACUGUAAAUCUUCUAUUUUUUUUUUUUUUUUUUAACAUUUGAAGCAGAAGUUGAAGAAAGAGGAUGGGAAGGGAGAUCAUUGAAGUGUGUCUAGUAUUAAUGAUGAUGUUUAAAUCCACCUAGACACACAAGUACCAAAUGAACAUUCAAGUAAAGGAAAGUGAGUUUUACAGAUAUUUAUUGCAAACCAACAAAUCAAGCAGAUACUGCAUACUUCCCAUGUACAGGUUAUGGCUGAACACUCAAUUGACGUGAACUCAUAAUGAGAGACAUGGAGGAUCUUUAGGUCACCUGAAAAGGAGAAUUCAGGGCAAUUUAACAAAUAUUUAUCACAAAAUUACUCUGGAUCUUGCUUGGUGACAAACACUGGGUCCUUCAAAAGUUGAGGCAGGGCCCCUAGCUCUGGGUGAUCAAUAACAAACAAAGGGGUUUGACAAUGUCAAGAAUGAAGAAUUUGUGGACAUUUUGCCUUCCUCCUGAUAACCCCCAAGCCUCCCUGUGCUGGGUGUUUUCUGCAGCCCAGCUAAGAACAGCUCCUGAAAAUCCUCAAGCUGAGUCUGGGCCCCUUCCAGGCCUGUGGUUCCACCGCACUGUGUGUGAUACAAAGAGCUAGGUGAGCAGGCUCUGUCUCAUGCCUCUGCAUCCUGCCCUGGGCACUCAGUGGCAACAAGGGAAGUGUGCCCAGCUAGCUUCAAAGCCUGAGGCCCACCCUUUCCUCCAAAGCCAGCCAGCUGUGUGGUGCUGUCAAGUGGUCUGGGGAUUUGAGAUGCCAAGUCUAAGGUUGGUAUCAAAACACUAAGGCUUCUCUUUGACCCCAUCCCUCUGCUUUAGAGGAUUGUUUCUAAAAGCAAUCUGACUCCUCCCACUCCUCAUGAAGGGGACCAGGAAAACGGUAAACUGAGCAAAGCUUGACCUCUGAUUUACUCACCCCUCUUUUGAGUAUUUCCUCCUCAUUUUCUCAGCUGGGAUCCCAAACAGCUAAUGGUGCCUUCCAUAGCUUUCUCUAUGCAGGCCCUUCAAACAGUGUCCUGGGCCCUCAGC
rnacentral:lncRNA from 1 species